rnacentral:rRNA from 1 species
CCACGGGUGGCAGCAGUGGGGAAUAUUGGACAAUGGGGGGAACCCUGAUCCAGCCAUGCCGCGUGUGUGAAGAAGGCCCUCGGGUUGUAAAGCACUUUCAGUGAGGAAGAACGCCUGGUGGUUAAUACCCAUCAGGAAAGACAUCACUCACAGAAGAAGCACCGGCUAACUCCGUGCCAGCAGCCGCGGUAAUACGGAGGGUGCGAGCGUUAAUCGGAAUUACUGGGCGUAAAGCGCGCGUAGGUGGCUUGAUAAGCCGGUUGUGAAAGCCCCGGGCUCAACCUGGGAACGGCAUUCGGAACUGUCAAGCUAGAGUGCAGGAGAGGAAGGUAGAAUUCCCGGUGUAGCGGUGAAAUGCGUAGAGAUCGGGAGGAAUACCAGUGGCGAAGGCGGCCUUCUGGACUGACACUGACACUGAGGUGCGAAAGCGUGGGUAGCAAACAGGAUUAGAUACCCGUGUAGUC